rnacentral:tRNA from 1 species
GGUUCCGUAGUGUAGCGGUUAUCACAUCUGCUUUACACGCAGAAGGUCGCCGGUUCGAUCCCGGUCGGAACCA